rnacentral:rRNA from 1 species
GAUGAACGCUGGCGGCGUGCCUAAUACAUGCAAGUCGAGCGAACAGACGAGGAGCUUGCUCCUUCGACGUUAGCGGCGGACGGGUGAGUAACACGUAGGUAACCUACCUAUAAGACUGGGAUAACUUCGGGAAACCGGAGCUAAUACCGGAUAAUAUUUCGAACCGCAUGGCUCGAUAGUGAAAGAUGGCUUUGCUAUCACUUAUAGAUGGACCUGCGCCGUAUUAGCUAGUUGGUAAGGUAACGGCUUACCAAGGCAACGAUACGUAGCCGACCUGAGAGGGUGAUCGGCCACACUGGAACUGAGACACGGUCCAGACUCCUACGGGAGGCAGCAGUAGGGAAUCUUCCGCAAUGGGCGAAAGCCUGACGGAGCAACGCCGCGUGAGUGAUGAAGGUCUUCGGAUCGUAAAACUCUGUUAUUAGGGAAGAACAAACGUGUAAGUAACUGUGCACGUCUUGACGGUACCUAAUCAGAAAGCCACGGCUAACUACGUG